rnacentral:lncRNA from 1 species
GCCCCUGGAGGAGGGCAAUCCCAUUAUUCAUUAGCAUAUUUUCCAGAGAUGAUUCAGAGAGAGAGGUCCCUCUAAGGUUCCAACCUCAUAGGGCUUAGCAUCCAAUGUGAGAUUAGGAUUAGUUCUUCUAGAUUGAGAGAGAUAGAGUGGAGGUGUAGAUCGGAGGAAGCCCGGCCUCUCGGUGUCUACUCUGAGGUUGUACCUGCGGGAUCAAGUCUCCUAACCCGAGGCUUGCUCCUACGAUUCUUCAGUACUUCGACUUCUAAAUUCUAGUAAGUUCUUUGUUCUUAUUGUUCUUUGGUUUAUGAGUUUACUUUAAUCUCUUCCGGUAGAGUUUAGAGUAAUCAUUGCUAGCGUAAACAUGGUGUUUGGGCUACGGUACUCAUAGAUAUCCCCUGUCUAGCAGGACCGUGGUAGUAGCGAGGAACGUGACAUUUCUAUAGCCACCUUUGUAGCCCACAGUCCCAUUAGCAGGAUCGGUAGGGUUUAUAGGUGGGUGUCGAACAUCCUUUAUGGUGUCUAGAUUCCGUAAGCCUCCCCAAUAGAACAGUAGAUCAUCCUUACCAAGGUUAGAACGAGAGUGCGGUUGUAGUCUUCUCUAUACAUCGCUCACAUCAAAUCACAUUGUUUGUAGCCUAAAGGGUAGUAGCAAUAGAUUUGGUUAGUCAGAUGCAUGCUUUCUCCCAGUGGUAAAAAUAUAAAUACGAUACUCUGGAUAACCUCUCGGGUGAAGUGCUCACCGAUAUCCAUGCGCUUGCGGAUCAUUUCCUGAUGGCGUUAAUAAAUAUCAACAAGCAUUUAUGGCACCGUUGCCGGGAAGAAAGACGAUUUGCUGAGAUAACUUUGAGUCUUGCUAUUAUCUUGUAUUAUACUUUUAUACUUUUAUUUUUUAUCUUUUUAUUUUUUUCCAUCUUUAUGGAUAACUCAAAUUCCACACCUAUUAUUGAAUUUUUUGCACCUUCAGAGACUAGCCAUAGACCAUGGGAGGCAACAAGUCCUUUCUUUGCCCCUAAUUAUGAUCUGUGUCCGGAGUUGAUUGAAAUAGGUCAAAACCAACCCUUUUAUAUAGCCGAGGUCCUAUCUUUUAAUCAAGAAGAUAAUGAACUUUUCCUAGAAGACCAUGUUUUUCCUAGAUAUUUUCACAUUGGUCUUAAUCAUAUAACCUUUGGUAGAGUUUUUCUUGCUUUAUCUGUUAGUAAAGCAAGGUAUGUCUUCAUUCGUGGACAUCCUUCUUGCACUAGUCUUCAUAAAAAAAUCCUAGAGAUAGAGAAGGAAUCAUCUCCCAGACGAGGAAAGGAAGUUUCAAUAGCCGAUUUCCAAACAUUUCAAUCCCAUGAUUCGACUAUCCAACCCAAACUAGUAGUGCUCCAAAAUUAUCUAAAGGAAGAAGAAAUUCUACCUUUGGAAAUUCAUUUUGGGAUGAGCUUAAACUUCCUGCUUCAUAAGAGACCUUUGAGUGCAUAUAGUCUGAACCUUCCUAAGAAGGGAUCUCUUAGAAAGCAUCUCAAAUCCAAUCCCUUUGAUGGACAUCUAGAAAGACUCAAGGAUGGCAUCUUAAGUGAUGCAAUAGAAGGAGAGCGAAGCCAUUUAGAAGACAAUCUCAUCUUCUCCCCUUCUACGCCCACUUUUGAUGACUCAUUCGAACCUAUCUUUAAACCCAUCUCUGAGCCUAAUAAUUUCAAUUAUGCUCUUUCUCUUGAACCUCCCGAUGAUCCUAUGAAUCUCUCUAGACAUCCCAUGCAUAAGAGUCACCAAGACCACAAGGAGGAUCGAGAAGAGCAACAUCAAUGGCUAGAGAGCAUUAAAAAUCCAUGUGCUAUCACCAUUGAAUGGAUGGAUAAAACAAACUUGAGAGACAAUCCUAGAGGAAUUUUAAGCAUUCAUGAAGAAUCAUCCUUGGAGUUUGAGAAUGAGAGGAACAACAGUGAGCAUGGAAGUUAUUUCAUAAAUACCUCACCAAGUCCUUGCUCAUAUAAAACAUCUCCCCAAUCAAUUGGUCUCUCCAACCUUACCACAUUUGAGAUCUCCAACCCCCUCUUCCUUUCUAUUUGUAAAAACUUUAAAGGUGUGGUUAUCGAUGCAUAUGUCUAUAAUAAAUAUUGCAGAUAUCGUUGAGUCGAUCUUGAUAUAGGCACGCUUAGGUUGGUGUUGGAGGGGAAACCACUUCACCAACAUAAUUUGAUGGUUUCCCAAGGACAAGCUUAGUGUCCUAAAACAAGCACAUAUCGGAUCGUAACAUGAACUUUUAAUUAUUUGCAACAUUGCCUUGUGUAUUGAGCAUAUAAAGAUAAUUGUAGAAAUAUUCCUUCGGGUAUUCGUGUCACUAACCUUUCUAGGAUUGGAUCAAGAAGAUCAGAGGAAUGACAAGCACAAGGUAUGCCCAACCAAUCAUCAUGGAACAUUGAAUUAAAUUCAUCCAAUCUUGAAUUUUGCAAAAUUCAAGCUUGGGGGAAAUACCUUACAUAAGAACAUCCUUUGCUAUGUUGCUAUGUUGGUUGUCCCUACUUUUGAGGCCUGCUCAAUUUUUCUAAACACUAAACUUAUUUUUCAUCUCUGCGUGAGUAGAUCUCUAUAAAUGCUGUCAUGCUACCUUUGUCUAUUCACAAGCAAGUGUUGGUUUGGAAGUACUCGACAUACUUCCAUUGGCAUUUAAAUUAAGCGUGAUGCUUAGGUUAAAUAGCCUUCCUUAAUCUGAUUAGACAUGGAGUCUAGUUUGGUUACUGAACUAAAAAACUACUUGAGUAGACAUUGGUAUAUUUUGUCGGACUAACCCCUACAGGAAAACUUUCAAUAUCAACCUAGGAAGUCCUGAGAUACAAACUCACAUUAGAGACAAAGGAGACACAUGGAGUUUAACGAUUUGCACAGAAAAGACAUAGCUCAUCCAUCAUAGAGAGAUGAUCCAUGGAACAAGACAAAGAGUGCCACAAACACAGUGCACGACUGCUAAGAAAGGAAAGCUUCCACAAGGUGAUACUGUACCAUCACUCUUCAAGUAAGGUAACAUCUUAAGGUACUUGACUAUCACUUUUAUAAGCUUCUCCUUGGUUCUGGCGUUCACAUAAAUAAAGAGACAAACAUAAAUUAACCAACCCAAUUAAUUCAACAUGUUUAGUCCUUUAAUCUUUGUUCUUAGCACUACCUUCGUGAUCCCACACUCCUAAUCAUAUAAGCUAAAAUGUUGCACAUUCAAUCUUUGGAAGAUAUAAAAAAACAUAAAUAUAGAUAGAUUAUCUUUCCAUUAGGUCGAGCGAUCUGAUCUGACAAAUGUUUUAAAUGCUACACUCAUGAUCUUAUUAUCCAUCAACUUUGUCUUGCUCACUAUGCUUAAGGUUAGAGAAAAACAAAUACACUUUUGGUUCCGUUGGUGUUUUUCACCAACAGGGCCCAUGCACUUGAUCUCUGUCUUGUCUCUAUGAGCAGGUACACUUCGAGCAAAAUCUGAAGGAGUUUUACAACUCCCAGAUUCCACCAAGUGAAGGACUUGGAUCAACAAGCACAAACACACUGAGCAGGAUGCUGCCAAUGCCGCACCUCGAACUGCUGAACAAAUAAAGAACAUGGGUGACACCGUAUCAAGAGGUGCAGAUGUCAAGGCCCACACCUAAUCAAAUGAUGCACCUAAAGGAUAAACACGGUGAGAAGUCUUGUCCAGAAGACUUAAAACAUUGGAUCCUUGCCGGAAGGUAAAAUCGGUAUUUAUCCAUAUUUAUCUUUUCUGCAUUCCUUUUCCUUUAUUCCAACACUUGCAUUAGCAUAUUUACUUUUCCACAUUAGCAUUAGAAAAGAAAACAAAAAUAUUUGUUCGUUGCAUUGCAUCAUAAAAUCUAAAGCCCCAUGUGAGUAGACUUGUGGUUUAAAACCCAUAGGUAUAUUGACUGUGGUGGCAUAAAAUAAAUAUGUUUUCAUCUUACAAUAAAAAUAUAAAAAUAAUAAGUGCACGAUCCUGCUAAAUAAAUAAAAUUUAUUAGGAGGAAUCUCAAUAUGAUAAAGGCUAAGAGACUUUAUGCUUACACUUAACCAGUUCCACAAAGCUUUGUUGUCUAUUUGAGGUCCAUAGAAUUAAAGGAUCAAAGAAGACUAGCCGGCAGAGGACAUAGUAAUCGCUGUCAGGGUGCUGCGGACAUUCAAAUACACCUCUGUCACCUGCUUGCUACAUCAGAAGAAAUUACGUUAAAAUCCAGCUUGGGGGAGAGCACCCCCAUUUAUCCAGCUAAGUGUUUCUACUCGCGUUUAUACUUUACUCAAAUAAUAAAAAGAUGCAUAAUCAUGAAAACCCAAAUAAAAAUUUUUGUGAAUAAAUAAAUAAAUAGUUGCUAAAUAAAUAAAUAAAGUGUCUAGGCCAAACUGAACUUAAAUGAUAAACUCUUACAUGGAUAUGAUAAAUAGUUGCUCUGCCAUGUACCUAGUUUUCAAGUUUGAGCUCUCUCUCAAGUUUAGGCAUAACUGUUGUAAUUUAAACUUGCUCUAAACCUGAACUUGUGCGAAGAGUACUUGAUCUAAAGUCUAAGUCGUUAACGUAUAUGAUAUGAAAAGGUUGAGCUGCUGUUUAUCUGUUCCUAGAGUUGCUAGAAUUCUGGAGAACAUUAUCUUUGAAAAUCUUUAAAAUAUUGCAUGAUGAGUUCCUGUAUGAUGAGAGUUUAAAAUCCUACCACAGCCAUAUAUACAUGCUUAUUAGACUAUGAACCAUAUAUUUACUUUUUACUGCUUAUGAGCAUUGAGUGUGGUCAAGUUGUGUAGACCUUUAGGAGUUUGUCAUGCGGUUAAAAUCAAGAUCCACUUGCACAUUCACUCAUACAUGCUACUUCUACUCCGGAAGUACGCAUCCACAUACAUCCACUCAAUUCCAUCUCCACAUUCACCUAAAAUUAUUCUACUCCUAUCCGGGAGAGAAUAGCCAAAAACGUUUUUCCUAUCCCUGUUAUCCCCUGUGAAAUAAAUGCUCGAGAUAUUUUGGUUACUACCACUUGCUACAUUAUUCUAGGAGGGUGAGUGCUCUGAAAAAAAAUAAAAGGAAAAAUACAAGGAAAUAAAAAGGGGCAAGUGCCCGGAACCUCGAAGAAAAGAAAAAGUGAGACGAGAGGUAAAAAUGGACAAGUGUCCGAUAGUAGAAUUAGGAGUACAAGAUACCCACCUGAGAGAAAAGAAAAAAAAUAUAGAGAGCAUCUCAUUCUCCUAAAAAAAGCUUCAAAGUGUAAGAAAGGUAUGUAUCUCCUAAAAAGAGCAAAAGUAGAAUUAGACUUUCACCAUUGUUAUCACCAUCAUCACCAUACACCAUUCACUCGCCACACAUGCACAUCUUGAUUUGACUUAUUGACUUGUUCUUCUAGAUCCAUGGUUUGACUAUGCAAUAAAUGUCUUGUAAGUAUGUAUGCUUUAUCUCCCACCUAUGAGCUCCAGAUAUCAAAACCUUAUUAGAGUAGGGUGAGAGAGAAGGCAAUAUCACUAUGCCUUGUACCAAAAAAUACCACAUACUUUGAGAGAAGGCAUAUACCAUUACUGCCUUGGAAAGGAUCCAGAAAUACCACAAAAGAGAGAGUUGAGAGAGUCAUACAAGGAAUCUCUAAGUUUUAUUUGAAAAUCUGCAAAAACUCCAGAGCUAUAGCUGAUCAAAGAACAAGAGACAUGGCGCUUGACUAGACUGUUCUAUCUUUUAACUGCUCAAGACACAAGUGACGAUUGCAAGCCCCAUGGUGAAAGGUAAAAUGAGUAAGUUUUAAGUCUUAACAGUUUACUCUAACUCAGAGAUGAGAUCUUGCUUGAACGCAUGUGUACUUUUAAGGCAUGAAACCACUGCAGAAACUCUUGAGUCCAUCCUUGCUCAGGGACGAGCAAGAAGUAAGCUUGGGGGAGUUGUUGAUGGUCCUUAAGUACCAAAUAUAAUCAUCAAAUAAAUAAAGAAAAGGAUCCAAAUGCAACCAACACCCAGACUUAGGGUUUUAUCUGGCAGAAUUCCAUGAGUUCUGGUGUUUGUCUAUUUCUGCAGGGGAUUAUCAGGAAAUAUGGAGGAAAGGCCCACACGUCGGGUUUACAUAGAGAUAUUAACGUGUGCACCAAUUUUCUAUCAUCUAGAAGAGUCCAGAAGCCAUGGGAACGAACGGGAGGCCGAGCGGGCCCGGGGGCAGGGCACCCACCCUCCCCCCUAGGGUGCCCGCCCUGCUACAGGGAGCAAUUAGGUCCCGCCUCACGGAUUAUGCUCCACCGACCUAAAGGAUUAAGGAAAACUGUGCGAUUAAGGUUGGUUUGAUCCGACGGCCCACGUUCAUUUGGAGGGGCUAUUUAAGCAGGCCCCCUGGCCCCUGGAGGAGGGCAAUCCCGUUAUUCAUUAGCAUAUUUUCCAGAGAGGAUUCAGAGAGAGAGGUCCCUCUAGGGUUCCAACCUCAUAGGGCUUAGCAUCCAAUGUGAGAUUAGAAUUAGUUCUUCUAGAUUGAGAGAGAUAGAGUGGAGGUGUAGAUCGGAGGAAUCUCGGCCUGUCGGUGUCUACUCCGAGGUUGUACCUGCGGGAUCAAGUCUCCUAACCCGAGGCUUGCUCCUAGGAUUCUUCAGU